AUGUCUCUGAUAAUACGAUAUGUCAAUGCAUCUUCGACUUUUGUUUCCAUUGAGGAAUCCUUUUUAGGAUUUUUGGAUGUCAAUGAUACAACUGGGCAAGGGCUUUUUGAUGUUUUGCAGGAAGAACUACGGAAUCUUGACCUAGAUAUAGAUGAUGUGAGAGGACAGAGCUACGAUAAUGGUGCGAAUAUGAAAGGUAAGAAUAAUGGUGUUCAAAGGAAACUUUUGGAUAAAAAUCCUAGAGCUUUUUAUUCAGCAUGUGGUUGUCAUAGUCUUAAUUUGACACUUUGUGACAUGGCAAAAACUUGUGGUAAAGCAAAGGACUUUUUUGGAAUCAUACAACGCAUCUACACAACAUUUGCUAAUUCAACUAAAAAGUGGCAGAUCUUGAAAGAUAAUAUAGAUGAUACAACAGGAUUGACUCUCAAGUCGUUGUCAUCUACUCGUUGGGUGAGUCGAAUAGAUAGUGUUAAAGCUAUAAGAUUUCAGCUUUCGAACAUACGAGAAGCUUUACUGCAAGUAUCUGAUAUUGAUAAUGAUCCAAAAACUAGCAGUGAAGCUAAAUCUCUCGCGAAUAAUGAACUUGGUGAUUUUGAAUUUUUAGUAGCUAUUGUUAUUUGGUAUGACUGUAUGCCAUCAAUCUGGUCAGCAAGAACUUACAAUCAAAGGAUAUGCUUAUUGAUGUUGCUAUUGAGCAAGUGCAGGGGCUAA
rnacentral:rRNA from 1 species